AACCAGACUCCUACGGGAGGCAGCAGUGGGGAAUAUUGCACAAUGGGGGAAACCCUGAUGCAGCGACGCCGCGUGAGCGAUGAAGUAUUUCGGUAUGUAAAGCUCUGUCAGCAGGGAAGAAAAUGACGGUACCUGACUAAGAAGCCCCGGCUAACUACGUGCCAGCAGCCGCGGUAAUACGUAGGGGGCAAGCGUUAUCCGGAUUUACUGGGUGUAAAGGGGGCGCAGACGGCAGCGCAAGCCAGGAGUGAAAGCCCGGGGCCCAACCCCGGGACUGCUCUUGGAACUGCGCGGCUGGAGUGCAGGAGGGGCAGGCGGAAUUCCUAGUGUAGCGGUGAAAUGCGUAGAUAUUAGGAGGAACACCGGCGGCGAAGGCGGCCUGCUGGACCGUAACUGACGUUGAGGCUCGAAAGCGUGGGGAGCAAACAGGAUUAGAUACCCUGGUAU
rnacentral:rRNA from 1 species